AUUGAACUCUAAACUUUUAUAAACUCAUGUAGUGCACCAAAUUUAUUUAAUUCGUGAGUUAUAACCUAACCGUUAUGUUGUUAUACUGUAUCUUCCAUGUAUUGUAUCUCUAUACAUUAUAUCGUCACGGAAAAAUUUGGAAUUUCUAAAUUUGAAAAUUUGAGAGUUUAAACUUAAAGUCGUUAGUGUUUUGUUUGGCAAAAAACGCGGUAUUGCAUAGUUCGAUACUAUGUAGUUGACUGAAAGGAACAAAAAAAGUACCUGACAGAAGAAAAAUUCAAAUUUGGCGGGUAAAUCGAUCGAGUGCUCAAAAAUCAAAAAUUAUGUCGUUUGUACGCAUAAUCAAUACACAUGAAGAUCGAGUGCUGCAGCGAGUUGUACCUCAAAAAUUUAGGAGCUUUACGCUUCAAACAGAGCGGAGAAAACCAGAGCAACGUGACGCGUCAAUCUCAUUCUUCAAUAUCGACCUCGACCGUCGAAAUCAAGUCGUUCCAUUUUCAAAAGGAAAGGCGCGCGAUGAAAUAGGAACAUUACCAGUAGUAUGGACAGUUGGAGAAAUCUGGAGGCAUCAGACAUUUGGAAAUUCAGAAAAUUUAAAGCAAAGGAAAUUUGAAAAUUUCAUAAAGCUCGAAUCUGACGGUCUGUUUUUACACAAAAUGGCACCCCUAAUUCCGUCUUAAAAAAUCGUUAAGUAUCGUUGAAUAAUUACUGUAAUUCAUCCACUUUCAUAAACCAGACCGUUCCUUUGCCCCCUUUAAUUGUAAUUAUUUCACAAAAUGAAACAUGUCUUUUUUUUAGGAACGUAUAUGAAGAUAGAAUAUUCAAUAGAAAUUCAACGUUUGAUCUGGUUGACUCGUGUUUUUUCCGCCCAGUGAUGGUUGCGAUUAUAUCACCGCCGUGGAUAUUUCCGGAAAUAGUAUUAAAUUUAUACAUCUGAGAGAUUCUAGAUAGGCGGUCAACGUCGCUCACGCAAUUAAAUCUGUGCGAUUAUUAAACGAAUUAAGAAAAUAUACAUUUAUAGUAUUCCUUCGUUUUAAGCCGUUUUAUGCCACGACUUAUCACGAUCCGUUCCGUUAUUGACUUCUCAUUGUUUUCUGAGCACAGGUAACGUUAGACUCUAACUGUUAGAGGAAUCGAGAUAACAAAAGGAUCGAGGCCUCCAUGAUACGAGUCGAAGAUAACCCAAAGGCUCGGAGCAACCGCAGAGGACAACGAAGUGGCAACGAAAUCAUUGAAAUCCAUCCGGGGGUGGGUUUACGAUACUCAUCGCUACAAACGCAAGAAGCUUGAUUCAUGCGAGUUUCAAGAUGUUAGAGAGAGAAGCAAAUGCGUCCAGUUGCGAGCCAAUGUACCAGGGAACCGAUACAUCGACCUUAGCCUUUUCUUAAUCAACCAGAUAUCGGCCAGUUCGUUGAGAUAUUAAUGCAACAUGAACUCUUGAGACUGAGUUCGCGGGCCCGUUCAGCUCGAAGCAGUUCCUUGAGACGUUGAAAACUGCCAGCCUGAGGAACCUGAGACAGAGGAGGAGAAC